rnacentral:rRNA from 1 species
CGUGAGACAGUUCGGUCCCUAUCUGCCGUGGGUGUAGGAGGUUUGAGAGGCUUUGUCCCUAGUACGAGAGGACCGGGAUGAACGUACCUCUGGUGGAGCUGUUGUCGCGCCAGCGGCAGUGCAGCAUAGCUAUGUACGGACGGGAUAACCGCUGAAGGCAUCUAAGCGGGAAACCCCCCUUAAAACGAGACCUCCCUUGAGGGCCGUGGAAGACGACCACGUCGAUAGGCCGGGGGUGCAAGCGCGGCGACGCGUUGAGCCGACCGGUACUAAUCGCCCGAUUGGCUUGAUCG